CCCUGGUUAGCUCAGUUGUUAGAGCGCUCCGCUUGUAAUGGAGAGGUCCCGGGUUCAAUACCCGGACCAGGCG
rfam:Ixodes scapularis strain Wikel colony gcontig_1108378991438, whole genome shotgun sequence.